GACGAACGCUGGCGGCGUGCCUAAUACAUGCAAGUUGAGCGCUGAAGGUUGGUACUUGUACCGACUGGAUGAGCAGCGAACGGGUGAGUAACGCGUGGGGAAUCUGCCUUUGAGCGGGGGACAACAUUUGGAAACGAAUGCUAAUACCGCAUAAAAACUUUAAACACAAGUUUUAAGUUUGAAAGAUGCAAUUGCAUCACUCAAAGAUGAUCCCGCGUUGUAUUAGCUAGUUGGUGAGGUAAAGGCUCACCAAGGCGAUGAUACAUAGCCGACCUGAGAGGGUGAUCGGCCACAUUGGGACUGAGACACGGCCCAAACUCCUACGGGAGGCAGCAGUAUGGAAUCUUCGGCAAUGGACGAAAGUCUGACCGAGCAACGCCGCGUGAGUGAAGAAGGUUUUCGGAUCGUAAAACUCUGUUGGUAGAGAAGAACGUUGGUGAGAGUGGAAAGCUCAUCAAGUGACGGUAACUACCCAGAAAGGGACGGCUAACUACGUG
rnacentral:rRNA from 1 species